rnacentral:rRNA from 1 species
GACGAACGCUGGCGGCGUGCUUAACACAUGCAAGUCGAACGGAAAGGCCCUGCUUUUGUGGGGUGCUCGAGUGGCGAACGGGUGAGUAACACGUGAGUAACCUGCCCUUGACUUUGGGAUAACUUCAGGAAACUGGGGCUAAUACCGGAUAGGAGCUCCUGCUGCAUGGUGGGGGUUGGAAAGUUUCGGCGGUUGGGGAUGGACUCGCGGCUUAUCAGCUUGUUGGUGGGGUAGUGGCUUACCAAGGCUUUGACGGGUAGCCGGCCUGAGAGGGUGACCGGCCACAUUGGGACUGAGAUACGGGCCAGACUCCUACGGGAGGCAGCAGUGGGGAAUAUUGCACAAUGGGCGGAAGCCUGAUGCAGCAACGCCGCGUGCGGGAUGACGGCCUUCGUGUUGUAACCCGCUUUCGCCUGUGACGAAGCGUGAGUGACGGUAAUGGGUAAAGAAGCACCGGCUAACUACGUG